rnacentral:rRNA from 1 species
GCAAGUCGAGCGGACCGACGGGAGCUUGCUCCCUUAGGUCAGCGGCGGACGGGUGAGUAACACGUGGGUAACCUGCCUGUAAGACUGGGAUAACUCCGGGAAACCGGGGCUAAUACCGGAUGCUUGAUUGAACCGCAUGGUUCAAUCAUGAAAGGCGGCUUCGGCUGCCGUUUACAGAUGGACCCGCGGCGCAUUAGCUAGUUGGUGAGGUAACGGCUCACCAAGGCGACGAUGCGUAGCCGACCUGAGAGGGUGAUCGGCCACACUGGGACUGAGACACGGCCCAGACUCCUACGGGAGGCAGCAGUAGGGAAUCUUCCGCAAUGGACGAAAGUCUGACGGAGCAACGCCGCGUGAGUGAUGAAGGUUUUCGGAUCGUAAAGCUCUGUUGUUAGGGAAGAACAAGUACCGUUCGAAUAGGGCGGUACCUUGACGGUACCUAACCAGAAAGCCACGGCUAACUACGUGCCAGCAGCCGCGGUAAUACGUAUGUGGCAAGCGUUGUCCGGAAUUAUUGCGCGUAGAGCGCGCGCAGGCGGUUUCUUAAGUCUGAUGUGAAAGC